AAAGAACCAAUUGCGGGCCGCCACGUGUCGGUGGGGCCCGCAAUCAGAAAAACAAUGACGCUUAAAGAAGCAUCAGAAGCGCCGCUGCUUCUUAUUCUUCUCUUUCCUUUUUUUUUUUAAUUAAAAAACUGUUAACCACUCCUUAAGCAACCAUGGAUAAUCGUGGUCUAACUGUGUAGCUCACUGUGUAGUUGUCUGUUACCAAAUCAAUUUAAUGGGUAACGCUGCCCAAUAGCCUUUUUGGUUUCUUGAUUAUAUAUGGGUGAGUGUUUUUAUAGGUACCCUUGUAUGUUGCUACAAAGAUGACCAAGAUAAGAAGGGCAUCUUUCUUAGUUGCAUCUCCAGAGGGUUACGCAAAGGCAGCACUGCGUUUUGUAGGCUAUGAACCACGUUGCACACCUUACUGGCCUCACGCCCUCAUGGGUUAUGUUGUCUCUGCAUUGCCCGAAAGCGUUUUUGAAUCCUUUAACAUUAAGAGGUGUCUCCAGAUCCGGAAGAAGGGCAUGCUUAAGGACUCCAUUAGUAAAAAGGAGUAAAACUUUUGUGGGGUUAAGUUACUGCAAUAUCUUCUUAUGCAGUUGGUUCCUCGUAAAGUUUAUGUUUUAAAUCUUUGUAAGACUUUUAUGCUUUAGUUUCCAUGUUCCCAAUUUAUUUUUAAAACUAAAAACCUUAACGUGCACGAAUCGUCGAUAUCCUGCCUGUUUUUUUUUUAAUUUAAAUAAAAUUGAAUGUUGAUAAAAUGAAGAAAUUUUUACUUUCUAGGACACUUUUUGUCUUUCAAAUUACAUACACAUACUAAGACACUUGCUGCUAGAAGCACACUUCUUAUUUGUGCAAUGUCCUACAUACCCUCUAAUUAACUACACUUUCUCCUAACACUAACUACUUUCCCAACUAUAAAAGUUUUAUUUUUUUCUUUUAAAAAUAAAUCGAUAAAGCAAACAUUUUUUCAGUUUUCAAAACAGAACUUUUAUUCUUUCUACAUCUUUAUUUCGAAAUUCAGAUUCGCUUUCCUAUUUCUCUCCUAACCCUAAUUCCACGAACCCUCUUCUCCUUCAUCUUUAAUUUUGUAAUCUUCAUGAUUUCAGAGGUCUCGCCGCGAGUUUGAUUUCUCUCCUAACCUUAAUCCGCUCUCAUCACCUUUAUCAUGCUCUCAUCGUCGUCCAUUUCCAUCGCUCUGUGUAAUGAUGACGAAACCCAAAUCAAAGAAGAAAGUGAAGAUAACUAAGCACUUUUUUUUUUUUUUUAAAUCUCAGGUAUGUGGAUCAGUUCUCAAGGUGUCUCCAUGUUGAGUACAAGAAAAGUGGGAUUGAUGUUCAAUGCCAGGUGAACUUUCCUGAACCAUUGCUGCUUUGUUUUGCUGCGUCUUUGUGUUGAUUUUGGCUUGUGAUCAUAGAUUCAUAGGUUAAGUUACCAAGAAUAGUAGUUCCUGGCUUCAUAUGUUCCCCUUUGGAAAAUAAUGAAGUAGUUAUUUAAGUUUUUGUCUGACAAUUUUUUUAAUGUGUAAAACGUAGUUUCUUUAAUCCAUUGAAAAGACGUUAUGCUGUAUCUUUCAUGGUUUCCUGACACUGUUUAAUGGACCUAGAAGGUUGAUGAUUUUUGUUUCAAAAGCUUAUUUUAGUGUUUUUUUCGAUUGAGGAACUAUUGCAUCCCAUUUCUCUUUGCUGAAUGAAUACUUCUGUGAUGUGAGAUCUCGUUUCUGAUGCCUGUUUAUGUUAUAGAGUGUCAAAACUAGAAAACUAUGGAAUAUGUAUCAUAUGGAAGAGCAUCAUUAACCCUAGCAACUCACAUUAGGGGUGCUUAAAUUUUUUUUUUUUUAGUUUUUUUCUUUCUGACUAAAAAAAAAAUUAAAAAAGAACCAAUUGCGGGCCGCCACGUGUCGGUGGGGCCCGCAAUCAGAAAAACAAUGACGCUUAAAGAAGCAUCAGAAGCGCCGCUGCUUCUUAUUCUUCUCUUUCCUUUUUUUUUUUAAUUAAAAAACUGUUAACCACUCCUUAAGCAACCAUGGAUAAUCGUGGUCUAACUGUAUAGCUCACUGUGUAGUUGUCUGUUACCAAAUCAAUUUAAUGGGUAACGCUGCCCAAUAGCCUUUUUGGUUUCUUGAUUAUAUAUGGGUGAGUGUUUUUAUAGGUACCCUUGUAUGUUGCUACAAAGAUGACCAAGAUAAGAAGGGCAUCUUUCUUAGUUGCAUCUCCAGAGGGUUACGCAAAGGCAGCACUGCGUUUUGUAGGCUAUGAACCACGUUGCACACCUUACUGGCCUCACGCCCUCAUGGGUUAUGUUGUCUCUGCAUUGCCCGAAAGCGUUUUUGAAUCCUUUAACAUUAAGAGGUGUCUCCAGAUCCGGAAGAAGGGCAUGCUUAAGGACUCCAUUAGUAAAAAGGAGUAAAACUUUUGUGGG
rnacentral:lncRNA from 1 species